AAUUACGUUCUCAGUUAAUUUCUCUCUCUCCCUUUCAUUUUAAUUUAUUAGAAGCAUCAUGGUUGCACAAAGAAAUAAAAUCCUCGGCAAAGAGUCAACAGCGUUACUACUUAGUAUAAUGGGGUUCCUGAUAUACACAUUGACGUUGUGUGCCGUUUACUUUCAAGAGAAACCCAUAAACCUUGGAAACUUUCGUUCAAUUUUCAUUGAUUAUCUUGCCUUUUUCUACUACUCGGUGUAUUUAAUUAUGAUGGCCUUGAUUUUUAAAGAAAAAUAUGACAUCAUGUCGGGAACUUUUUCAUUAAUAGUGUCUCUGUUGGCCUUUUUCGGUUUGGAAAUUCUUGGUUUUAAUUCCGUUAAUUAUCUUCUUCAACAUUUGGUUCACAUGGCUGUGGCCAGUCUAGUGCUAGGAAAUGUACUUGCUUUUUGGUGUUACAUUCGUGGCUUGAGCUUACCCCCCAAUGAAAUAAACCCAAAGACAAUAGGAAAAGACACACUGUAUUGCUAUAUUAUUGGCAGAGAAGUCAGGCCACGUCUUUUCGGUUACCUCGAUUUGAAGAUGUAUGUUAACAGAAUUUGUGUUGUCUCUGCGGUUUUGCUGGAUUGUGCCUUCUUGUAUCAAGAAUUGAUACGAAGUUUGACAUUACAAUCAUACGAUUUGAACAAAAGUUUUAUUGUUAUGGAAGUAAUUCAUUUAAUUUAUUGCUUCGACGGCGUGGUUGCCGAAUACACAUAUGAAUAUUCCCUGGAAAUCCAAAAAGACGGUUUCGGAUACGUGUCAGCAGUUGGAUAUUUCAUAUACCCGUUUAUAAUAAGCACAGUUCCUUAUCACUUUCUUCAAGCCAAAACCGAGCUAGCAGCUUGGAAGUUAGUAACAAUAAUAUGUUUAUUUACCGUUGGUUUUCUACUGUUUAGAAUCGCAAAUAAUCAGAAAUACAACUUCAAAGUAAAUGCCCAGAAACAAGGGGCGAAAUUUCCGACAAACUCAAAAAAUAAAAAAUUACUGUGUUCAGGGCUUUGGGGAUUUGUUCGCCAUCCUAAUUACCUGGGAGACAUUUUAAUGAACAUUUCGUUUACUGGCUUGACUAUAAGUACAACUGUGAUAUUACCUUUGUUGGAAGUACCUUUCUUGAUUCAUCGUUCAAUCAGAGACAAUAAACUUUGCAGGGAAAAGUAUGGUGACUUGUGGCACGAAUAUUGCGAAAAAGUUAAAUAUGUUUUAAUCCCUCGGAUCUAUUGACACAAUAUCAUUUCUGUUUUUUUAUAUAUUUUAACGUUGUUUAGUUAUUUUUAUUAGCGAAUGUAAUUAAGUAUGGCAAUAAAUCAAUCUUCAUUAUUUACGAUUUGAGGAGUAAAAUUUUAAAAAAUUCAUAACUAAAAAACUAUUGGGAAUUUGGCAAUUUUUUCGAUGCCAAUCGAUUUCCCGGAUCAUUUGGCAUAGGUAUGAAUCAAAACAGUUUCCCCUUUUCGAAUAGUUUAGUCGUAAUUGGGAAAAUAAAAAAAAUUUAAAAAAGUUAACACCCCCCCCAACAAAAUGGUCAAUUUUAAAAGUGUCUCAGAAUCGAAUAAAACUUAUCCAAUCUUAUAGAUUUUGAUGUGCUCUUUACGAUGGAAAAAAGCGUUUUCUCCUAGCUCUUUUAGUUUGGCCGUAAUCGGCGAUUGAAAAUUGAAAAAUUUUUUGCGAGAAAUCGCCUUGAGUCCUAUGCCAUUUUGUAGAGUUUUUUAUUCCGGUUGUCCUCAAUUUUUCCGUUUCUCAAUAACUCUAACAGUUUCGCCGUAAUUGGCGGUUGAAAAUUAAAAAAAAGUGAAAAUAGAAACCUUUUUUUGCGUUUUUCUCGUAAACUGUAGGACUUAGAGCAACGAACAAAAAUUCAUCUGAUAGCGCUUAAUUUUCUCUAUUUUUUCGAUUAAACCCGGAGCUGCUCCGGGCAACGGUUCCGGCUACAGAGGCGAUCAAAGUUUUUCACUAAAAAAAUUCAUAAAAAAAUAAAAAACUAAGAGUUGUAGAGCAUUGCGGUUUGUUCGAUUGAAUUCUACGGCUCAUUUUACAUAUUAUAUCAAUUUUUCACAAGAAUUAAAGAUUUAAAAUUUUUUGCUUAAAUUUUGGGUAGCCAUUUGUCAUAGUGGAAAAUUUUAUCCAACAAAAAAUAAUCAUAACUCAAAAACUAAAAGUCGUGGAGCAAUGCGGUUUGUUCCAUUAAAUUCAGCGGCUCAUUUUGCGUAUACAGUCAUAAUUUAACAAGAUGUAAACUUUUAACGUUUUUUGCUAAAAAUUGAGAUAGACAAUAUCUACAGUGAAAAAUUUUAUUUACCAAAAAAAUUCAUAACUCGAAAACUAAAAGUGGUAAAGCAAUGCGGUUUGUUCUGUUGAAUUCAGCGGUUCAUUUUGCGUAUAAAACCGUUCUUUAAUAAGAUGUAAACUUUUAAAGUUUUUUGCUAAAAAUUAAGAUAGGCAGUAUCUAUAGUGAAAAAUUUUAUUUAACAAGAAAAAUUAAUAACUCAAAAACUAAAAGUCGUAGAGCCAUGCGGUUUAUUCCAUUGAAUUCUACGGCUAAUUUUCUGUAUUAUAUCAAUUUUCAACGAAAUUUAAAAUUUUUAAUUUAAAAAAUAGGGAUUUUUUGACAAUUUACAUCGCUGAAUUAUUAUUGUUAUUGAGCUUGUUUAUUGAUACAAGUAUUUUCUAUUUUGUAGAGUUUUCUAUUCCGGUUGUCCUCGAUUUUUCCGUUUCUCAAUAACUCUAAUAGUUUCGCCGUAAUUGGCGGUUGAAAAUUGAAAAAAAGUGAAAAUGGAAACCUUUUUUUGCGUUUUUCUCGGAAACUAAGACUUAGAGCUACGAACAAAAAACUAUCUGAUAGCGCUUAAUUUUCUCUAUUUUUUCAAUUAAACCCGGAGCUGCUCCGGGCAACGGUUCCGGCUACAGAAGCGAUCAAAUAUUGCAAAAAAGUUAAAUAUGUUUUAAUUUCUCGGAUCUAUAAUAUCAUUACUGUUUUUUACAUAUUUUAGCAUUGUUUAGUUAUUUUUAUUAACGAAUGUAAUUAAAUAUGGCAAUAAAUCAAUCUUCAUUAUUUACGAUUUGAGGAGUUGAAAAACUUAAUUGUUUAAUUAAAAUAAUAAUAAUCCUCUUCUUUAUUUAAUUAAAACGUUAGAUAAGCCUCAAAUCUUAAACACGUGGAUUAAGACCAAUAAUUCUCAGUCCUUAUAAAGUGCCUCGAAAAAACCAAUAGUCAGUUGACUAGUCAUCGACACAAUAGUAACACUAAUAACACAAAAUGAGGUUUUUUACCUUGAUUAUUUUUGCUUUGGUGGCACUCCAGCUUUGCAGAUCUUCAACAGUAACCGACGCUGAAACGAAGCUCCAACGCUUGCGAGAGCUAACAACCCACAAACUGCAGUCCGCCUUUCUGGACCACACCCGCAUGUCGAACGAAAUCGACGCCACUGCGCUGGCCGCCAAAGAGCACGGAAAAAUCGAAAUUCAGAAGAAAACCGACAAAUACUUGGCUAAACUUAAAGCCGACAAGGCACUGACGCAGAGAUGUCGUGGGUCCCGGGACCACAUUUUCGAUCAUUUGAAGCAAUCCAACAUCGAUGAGUUAAUCCGGUGUGUUGACCAUGCUGGUGGUCAAAGUGUGAAUGUUUUGGCAGCGCAACGACUGUCAUUGAGCGAGUAUGUCUGGGAUGCUAUUUAUGAGGAAGAGAAGCAUAUUAUCGUCUGUGGACAGAAUCACAAAUGUCUUGCGGCUGCUGUUGCCGAUCUUGAAGACAAAAUCGACGAAGUGAGGAAAGUUAUUGAAGCUGAGGUGGAAAUUAGCAAGCACAAUAAGGAGGUCCAAGUGCAGGUGAUCAAAGCUUGUGCUAGCAAGAGUAUUGCCAAUGUCGAGCAUGAACUUAGCACAAUACCCACCUGCAUGUAUUAGUUUGAAUUAUCCGAUUGUGUAUUUUAAUGCAAUAAAUUAAAUAACCCAGAAAAA